UACGAAGGGGGCUAGCGUUGCUCGGAAUUACUGGGCGUAAAGCGCACGUAGGCGGCUCUUUAAGUCGGAGGUGAAAUCCUGGAGCUCAACUCCAGGACUGCCUUCGAUACUGUAGAGCUUGAGUUCGGGAGAGGUGAGUGGAACUGCGAGUGUAGAGGUGAAAUUCGUAGAUAUUCGCAAGAACACCAGUGGCGAAGGCGGCUCACUGGCCCGAUACUGACGCUGAGGUGCGAAAGCGUGGGGAGCAAACAGG
rnacentral:rRNA from 1 species